rnacentral:rRNA from 1 species
AGAGUUUGAUUAUGGCUCAGGAUGAACGCUAGCUACAGGCUUAACACAUGCAAGUCGAGGGGCAGCAGGACGAUAGCUUGCUAUUGUUGCUGGCGACCGGCGCACGGGUGAGUAACGCGUAUCCAACCUUCCCUUAGUAGGGCAUAGCCCGGUGAAAAUCGGAUUAAUACCCUAUGUUGUGUCAUGAGGACGUCUGAAUAACACUAAAGAUUUUAUCGCUAAGGGAUGGGGAUGCGUCCGAUUAGGUAGUCGGCGGGGUAACGGCCCACCGAGCCCUCGAUCGUAGGGGUUCUGAGAGGAAGGUCCCCCACACUGGUACUGAGACACGGACCAGACUCCUACGGGAGGCAGCAGUGAGGAAUAUUGGUCAAUGGGCGUAAGCCUGAACCAGCCAAGUAAGCGUGCAGGAUGACGGCCCUAUGGGUUGUAAACUGCUUUUAUACGGGGAUAAAGUGAGGGACGUGUCCCUUUUUGUAGGUACCGUAUGAAUAAGGACCGGCUAAUUCCGUGCCAGCCGCUGC